GUGUGUGUGUGUGUGUGUGUGUGUGUGUGUGUGGGUGUUUGUGUGUGAACCUGCCCAGAGAAGAGUGUGCGUGUGUGUGUGUGUGUGUUUGUGUGUGUGAACCUGCCCAGAGAAGAGUGUGUGUUUGUGUGUGUGAACCUGCCCAGAGAAGGGUGGAGACGUCUCUUCUGUUUUUGUGUGUGUGUGUUUGUGUGUGUUAAUAUGAAACUGCCUAGUCAUCAAAGAGGCGUCAUCUUGUCCACUUCCUCUGUGUGUGUGUGUGUGUGUGUGUGUGCGUGUGCGUGCGCGUGUGCGUAUACCUUCCCAGAGACGAGUUCAGAUGUCUCCUCCUCUCCCUCUGUGUGUGUGUGUGUGUGUGUGUGUGUGUGUGGACAUCCCUCUCCCUGUCUUCUCCAGCUCCUGGGCAGCUGUUAAAAAAUGCAGAUGAUCCUUUUAAGGGCCUCAGCCCGCGACACACACACAUACACACACACACACACACACACACACACACACAGCCUCAGGGGGCUCUCCAGGGCAGAUCCAGACCCACUGCUCAGUACACACACACACACUUGAGCACACAGACACACGCAUACACAAUCACAGAUGAUCAAACACACACACACACACACACACACUCCAGUGUAGCAUGCUGGUGUAAAUGGGAAGGGUUGACUCUGUGCGGUAUGACCUGAAGCACACACUCCUGAAAGCACCUGUGGCAACCCGCCACGGCAACAUGCCUGGAAACAUCAUGCUCCCCACCGCACGGAGGAGGAGGAAGAGGAGGGAGGAGGAAGAGGAGAGAGGAGGGAAGAGGAGGAGAGAGGAGGAGGAGAGAGGAGGAGGAGAGAGGAGAGGAGGAGAAGAAGAGAGGAGGAGGAGGAAAGGGAAGGAAGGAAGGGAGGAGAGGGAGGAGGAGGAAAGGAGAGAGAGAGGAGAAAAGCUUCUUCAGCUGGCUGGUGGUUCAUGUUGAGAGAGAGAUUGAGACUACUGUACUGCUGGUCUGCGUGUGUGUGUGUCUGUGUGUGUGUGUGUGUGUGUUCCUGGCAGACUGGGUUCAGCAUCAAGUUCAGCUGUGUGCGUGUGUGUGUGUGUGUGUGUGUGUGUGUGUGUUCCUGGCAGACUGGGUUCAGCAUCAAGUUCAGCUGUGUGUGUGUGUGUGUUCCUGGCAAACUGGGUUCAGCAUCAAGUUCAGCUGUGUGUGUGUGUGUGUGUGUGUGUGUGUGUGUGUGUGUGUUUGCGUCUCCUCUUGAGUGUUCUCUGUUGUUCCCUAUCGAUUGCUCCCCUCUCCACGAGGUUUCAUCAGCAGCACGUUACCAUGGCGCUGGGAGGUGGCGGCACCCCGUCUCUCUGGAGACGAAGGAUGACACGCAAGCCUGAAGAGAUGAGAGGAAGGGGGGAAGGAGGACAAGUGUGUGUGUGUGUGUGUGUGUGUGUGUGUGUGUGUGUCUGUGUGUGUCUGUGUGUGUCAGAGAGAAGUGUGUGUGUGUCAGAGAGAAGUGUGUGCUAGAGAGAAGUGUGUGUGUGUGUGUGUCUGUGUGUGUGCUAGAGAGAAGUGUGUGUGUGUGUGUGUGUGUGUGUCUGUGUGUGUGCUAGAGAGAAGUGUGUGUGUGUGUGUGUGUGUGUGUGUGUGUGUGUGUCUGUCUGUCAGAGAGAAGUGUUUGUGUGUCAGAGAGAAGUGUGUGUUAUUGGAAUGAUCUAACAGAAAACAGGCGCCAUAAUGACUGUGUGACUGGUUUAAUAGAGAGAGAGAUUUUGAUAACAUUUAAAAGUGCC
ensembl:lncRNA